UGUGGCACAGAGAAGUUCCAUUAUUUCAAAGUUUAGGAUGUCUGCACUUAAGGUUCUCAACUUCGUACUACUUGCUGUAGCCCUUAUGUUGGCAUACGAAACACACAUAUCCAGUGCUCAUCCUCAUCCUCACUACUACAGCCUGCCAGUAUAUUGCGAUAGGAACAGGCCCUGCACACCUAGUACAGUCAGAGAGGAUUGCGGACCAUCCUGUAGGUGCGUUUACUACAGAGCACCAGGGGAGAAAAAAGGACCAGCACGAAUGACAUGUUCCGGUUGAGACAAUUCGAUUUCAACAAAACUUCUCUUCUGCGAUGCUAAAAUAAAAAAGUGUACU
rnacentral:lncRNA from 1 species